rnacentral:siRNA from 1 species
GCCUUCUCCUCCAAGUCAGACU